rnacentral:lncRNA from 1 species
UCCAAAAGAGGCACCCCAUUCAAAUUGGAGGCUCCUGCAGGAGAGGGCAGCCAGGGCAUGCAGCGCGGAGGCGCCCUUGUGGGAGGAGAAGGUGCUGGUGGUGGACGACAUCAUGGCGGUGGUCCACGUCGUGGUUGAGGAGAAGGCUGACAUGGAGAGGCAGGAGGAGGACCAGCAGACAGAGCCUGUCCGCGGCCCCAGCACACCCUAGCCGGCAACAGACUCGCUGGAGGUCCUUCACUUGGAGCUGCACUCUGUGGAUGCCCCAGGCCGCAUGGUCUGCCCGCGGCUGAGACGGAAGCUUUGGCAGAAGCACCUGCCCGGCCUGGAGGGCACAGGGGCCAUUAGCCAGGGCAUCUCCGGCUUCUGGGCCAGAGCCAUAUCC